UUGCAACCUGCUCUUACUUCCCCAUGUCCACUCCUCAAUCAAUACAAGGAGGCCUCUGGCGCUCCUGUGAUUGAGCGGUUGUGGGUUUUUUCCUCACCAGCUGGACUGCGGUCAGUUGGUGUACACCUGCACCACAGCGGGCUGUGUAAGAUCUGAUUCAGGGUCUGCAGGGCGGGGUGGUGAGUAGGCUACAGGGGUGAGCAGCGCAGGGCAGGCCCGCCAUUUCCCCCUCGCCUCUGUGGUCUGUUUUCUUUCGUAGCGCUUUUUAAAGCCUAGCAGCGGCGGCAGCGGCAGGAGGAGGAGGAGCGGCGACGACUGGCGGAGCGGCGGAGGCAGGCAGGAGGAGAGACGCAGGGAUCCGGUGUGCCACAUCGGGAUGCGAGCGAGACAGAGACCCGGGUCGGAUGAGUCAGCGCGAGGACCCUGCAGUCACGGCAUCUCUGAGAUCUGAAUGAAUUUGGACGGAGCCGAGCGGCGCAACAAAAAAUAAACAAUAACAUUUUUUGAUUGUUGUCAGAUUCCGCUUCUCUUUAUUCCGCCCUCCCCUGGUCCGCGUCUGCUAUAGCCUGGUUUUGAUUUUUUUUUAUUUACACCAAGGUGGGGAAAAAAGGGGGGUCCGGCAAGGUUGCGGAGGAGGUGGAGGAUUUAUUUUAUUUUUUCAAAGCUCAUUAUCCGAAGAGAAACCCCAGACGAGGCUUACAUUUUCAAAGUCUUUUUGUUGCAUUUGAGGGAGCCGAAGAUGUCGGGGCAGAGCAUUACCGACCGGAUAACUGCAGCCCAGCACAGUGUAACGGGAUCCGCCGUGUCGAAAACAGUAUGCAAGGCCACCACUCACGAAGUCAUGGGCCCGAAAAAGAAACAUUUGGAUUAUUUGAUUCACUGCACCAAUGAGAUGAAUGUGAACAUUCCCCAGCUGGCCGACUCGCUGUUUGAGAGGACCACCAACACCAGCUGGGUGGUUGUGUUUAAGUCACUCAUCACCACACACCACCUCAUGGUCUAUGGCAAUGAGCGUUUUGUCCAAUACUUGGCUUCAAGGAAUACACUAUUCAACCUCAGUAAUUUUUUGGACAAAAGUGGGUUACAAGGUUACGACAUGUCCACAUUUAUCAGGAGGUAUAGUCGAUACCUGAAUGAGAAAGCUGUUUCAUACAGACAGGUUGCCUUUGACUUCACAAAAGUUAAACGCGGAGUGGACGGCGUGAUGAGGACCAUGAAUACAGAGAAGCUGCUCAAGACUAUCCCCAUUAUUCAGAACCAGAUGGAUGCCCUCCUCGAUUUCAAUGUCAAUGCCAACGAGCUGACUAAUGGAGUCAUCAAUGCAGCCUUCAUGCUUCUCUUCAAAGACUCCAUCAGGCUCUUUGCUGCGUAUAAUGAAGGCAUUAUCAACCUGCUUGAGAAAUACUUUGACAUGAAGAAGACUCAGUGUAAAGAAGGUUUGGACAUUUACAAGAAGUUUCUCACCCGAAUGACCCGGAUAUCGGAGUUCCUCAAAGUAGCGGAGCAAGUGGGUAUUGAUCGAGGGGACAUUCCAGACCUAUCACAGGCUCCCAGUAGCCUUCUUGAAGCUCUGGAGCAGCACUUGGCCUCUUUAGAGGGCAAGAAGGUCAAAGACUCCACUGCAGCCAGCAGGGCUAGCACUCUGUCAAAUGCAGUGUCAUCACUGGCCAGCACAGGGAUGUCUUUCACUAAAGUGGAUGAGCGGGAGAAGCAGGCAGCUCUCGAAGAGGAACAGGCUCGACUUAAAGCUCUGAAGGAACAGAGGCUCAAAGAGCUUUCCAAGAAGCCCUCCUUCGCCACCACUGAUACAUCACCGGUCUCCACCACCGGUGGCACUAUCAGCACAGCACCAGCCAUCGACCUCUUCUCUACCCCCAGCUGCUCUAAUGGUGCAGUGAAGAUGGAGAGCGACCUUUUUGACCUGCAGUCAACUUUCCAGCCCUCCAUGCAGUCAGGCUCGACGGGGCUUCCAGUGGCGACAGCGUGGGCUGAUCCUUUCACCUCUGCUGAAGCUGGAGAUGAUUCCAUGCCAAACCUUAACCCUUUCCUCUCAAAACCCGUUGUCGAUGCCUCUCACUUACCUGUCGUGUCUUCAGACGGUGUUAGCUUUUCCUCUAGGACAUCUGGUCAUGAAAUGUUUGGUGAUCGUUACAAUCCCUUUACUGACACAAACUCAUCCGUUUCAACCAAUUACAAACGCACAGUGCGGAUAGAACACUCCGUCUCAGACUCCUUCUGUGGUCCAGUGUCCAUUGCCCAGCACCUCUCACACCAGGCUCCCUACCCCACUGAGCCCUCUACUGUAGCAGGUCUAUUCAGAGGUUACUCAACGCCACAGGCCCCACCACAGCAGUCAGCAGGGGGGGGACUCCAAGUGGACUUUGAGUCCGUAUUUGGAGCCAAAGCCACAGGCAGCAACAGUCUCAAUUCUGAUGAUAUUACUGGGAGCAUCCUGAAACCGACUCUUGCUGCCUGCAGCCAGCCGUCUGGUCAGCAGCCAGAGAAGCUAGUGUCAGAUGACCUUGACUCCUCCCUGGCCAACCUUGUCGGUAACCUCGGUAUUGGGAACGGCACGAUGAAAAAUGACAUCCACUGGAGCCAGCCGGGGGAGAAGAGGAUGACCGGUGGCACCAACUGGCAGCCCAAAGCGGCGCCGUCCACGACUUGGAACCCCGUUUCCAUGCCACAGUCAAUCAUGGCCUUCCCUGCCACCACACCCACAGGCAUGAUGGGAUAUGGCAUGCCUCCACAAAUGGGCUCUAUGGGGAUGAUGAAUCCACCCACCAUGAUGUACUCCCAGCCUGUGAUGAGGCCACCCAACCCCUUCGGCUCUGUGUCUAGUGCUCAGGUGGGUGCACGGCAGUCUGACAACUCCACGGAGCUGAUGCACAAUGAACUUCUCCAAACUAAUCUCAUCCCUCCUUCAGUCUCUGUACUGACUGUCUGACUUCUCCUCUGGUCCACCUACUUCCUGUAUUUCUUCCUGAAAUAGCCCUCUGCAGCCUCUAGUCCUUCCAGCCAGAGUCCUCUCCGAGCCCCUGGACAGGACCCGUUUGCACACCUCUCUCUCAAGGAUUUCUUGUAGAGCAUCUCUUUAGAUGCAGUUCAUGUAAUUUGAAGAAAAGUGUCUCUCGGAAAAUGAAGCACUUAGCAGCAAAGUUUUGUCCUCGUUGCAGUCUAACUCUUCAGAGAAACAUUCACACACCCCCAAAUACAGACAUGUCAAGAACACAACGGUGCCACGACUGUCAGAAACCAUGGUAACCAUGUCCAAAUGACGUUUGGCGAUAGCUCACACACUUUAUUCUGUAACUUGUCCGAGACGUCGAGUGAUGCUGCUGUCUAAACCCCCCUUAAAGAGGAUCCCUUAUCCAUUUUACAGUGUAAUCUGUAAAGAUAGUUAUGGGUGCUGAGAAACUUUGAUGUUAAAUAUUUGGACAUACUGUGGAUGUAAAGGCUUGAUGUUCAGCGGGGAGGGGGUGGAAGGAAAAAGGAGAGCAGUCCUUCCCUUUCUUGAUCCGACCAUCAGUCAUCCAUUCCCUACUGUUAUUUAACUGUCACUAAGUAGUGAUGCUAAUGGCGUUUACACCUGUUUAGUUUAUGUCUUUUUUACCGUGUUUACAGUAGACAUUCCUUGUGUGUUGUUUGUAUUUAUUUAUGAUUAUUGGUUUAAGAUUGGGGGUGGGGGGAUAAUGUAAAAUCUACAGUACAUUAAACACCUGUGGGAGUGCUUCAGCAUUAAACAAGGAUCUCAGACUAUCAUUGAGAGGUAGAGUUAAAAAUAGCUAUUAUAUAAAUUACACCUAUUAAGCGGAAUGAUAGAGCACUAAAUAUUCUACAAGUUUUGUGUUAAGAAAUUUUUUUACUAGAGAAAGAUUUCACAAUCUCCUCCAAUGUACUUAAAAGUGCAGGGGUUAGAGUACAAGUCAGUUAACAGUAUAUAGUCGAUUCUGUGCCUAGGGUUUUCUGCAAUGGAUCAGUUUCCUGUCUAGUUGAAAAAACAAAACAAAAAAAAACACUUCAUCCACAAAUCUGAAGCGUCGCACUGGGUGGUGGGCUCCAUUUGCUUUAAGCUUGGCAUGCCAUUGAUUCACUGACCGUAUUCAAGGCUGCCUUUACUCUGAAUGUGAAAGAGUUGUCUUCAUGUUGCACACAUCUUUCAACACUAGUUCCUCAGCGGGAGUGGGGGUGCAUGGGUGGGUGGGGGACAGAGAGGGUCUGCUUGCUGGUUAGCCGUCGUUACGCUAAUGGGGAAAGGGUCACAGAUUUGAUGUAAAUUAAUUGUAUAAAAGAUCCAGAGGACCAGGGUGGAGCGGAGGAGCGCUGUUGAUCGGUGCUCUGUGUAUAUAUAUAUUAAAAAAACUGACUGUUCUUUGAGUUCAAAAGUGAAAGAUGUAUGAAAUAUGAAAGCAAUUCAAUCAAAUUUGACUCUACCUAAGUUUGAUUCAGGAUAUUCUCUGCGUUUGUCGCCGCAGAUAUUUUCUUUAUGUAAUUAGAACGUGUAGCAGACAAUGACUGAAGUCUUUUCUUUCUUUUACAAAUAAAGAGCAGCUUCCACAAA